UUGACCUCGAUCAGGUAGCAUCCAGU
rnacentral:rRNA from 1 species